rnacentral:rRNA from 1 species
GACGAACGCUGGCGGCGUGCUUAACACAUGCAAGUCGAACGAAGUGGCGAACGGGUGAGUAACGCGUAAUCAACCUGCCCUUCAGAGGGGGACAACAGUUGGAAACGACUGCUAAUACCGCAUACUGAAGGAGGGGAUUGCGUCUGAUAUGCUAGUUGGCGGGGCAACAGCCCACCAAGGCGAUGAGCAGUAGCCGGUCUGGGAGGGUUAACGACCACCAUGGGACUCAACCACGGCCCAGACACCUACGGGAGGCAGCAGUGGGGAAUCUUUCGGAAUGGGCGAAAGUCUGACGGAGCAACGCCGCGUGGGUGAAGGCGGCCUGCGGGUUGUAAAGCUAUGUUAAUCGGGACGCGGUACCGGAAUAGAAAGCCACGGCUAACUACGUGCCAGCAGCCGCGGUAAUAC